AACGGAGGAGUACGAAGGUACGCUAGGUACGGUCGGAAAUCGUGCUGAUAGUGCAAUGGCAUAAGCGUGCUUAACUGCGAGACCGACAAGUCGAGCAGGUGCGAAAGCAGGUCAUAGUGAUCCGGUGGUUCUGUAUGGAAGGGCCAUCGCUCAACGGAUAAAAGGUACUCUGGGGAUAACAGGCUGAUACCGCCCAAGAGUUCAUAUCGACGGCGGUGUUUGGCACCUCGAUGUCGGCUCAUCUCAUCCUGGGGCUGUAGCCGGUCCCAAGGGUAUGGCUGUUCGCCAUUUAAAGAGGUACGUGAGCUGGGUUUAAAACGUCGUGAGACAGUUUGGUCCCUAUCUGCCGUGGGCGUUGGAUAUUUGAAGGGGGCUGCUCCUAGUACGAGAGGACCGGAGUGGACGAACCUCUGGUGUACCGGUUGUGACGCCAGUCGCAUCGCCGGGUAGCUAUGUUCGGAAGAGAUAACCGCUGAAAGCAUCUAAGCGGGAAACUCGCCUUAAGAUGAGAUAUCCCUGGAGGCUUGACCUCCUUGAAGGGUCGUUCGAGACCAGGACGUUGAUAGGUCGGGUGUGUAAGCGCAGUAAUGCGUUCAGCUAACCGAUACUAAUUGCCCGUAAGGCUUGAUCCUAUAACA
rnacentral:rRNA from 1 species